GAUGAACGCUAGCGGCAGGCUUAAUACAUGCAAGUCGAGGGAUAGCACAGGUAGCAAUACUGGGUGGUAACCGGCAAACGGGUGCGGAACACGUACACAACCUUCCUUUAAGUGGGGGAUAGCCCAGAGAAAUUUGGAUUAAUACCCCGUAAUAUAGUUGAAUGGCAUCAUUUGAUUAUUAUAGCUACGGCGCUUAAUGAUGGGUGUGCGGCUGAUUAGAUAGUUGGCGGGGUAACGGCCCACCAAUUCUACGAUCAGUAGCUGAUGUGAGAGCCUUAUCAGCCACACCGGCACUGAGACACGGGCCCGACUCCUACGGGAGGCAGCAGUAAGUAAUAUUGGUCAAUGGACGCAAGUCUGAACCAGCCAUGCCGCGUGAAGGAUUCAGGUCCUCUGGAUUGUAAACUUCUUUUAUUUGGGACGAAAAAGGGCCUUUCUAGGUCAACUGACGGUACCAGAUGAAUAAGCACCGGCUAACUCCGUGCCAGCCGCCGCCGUAAGAC
rnacentral:rRNA from 1 species